UUGUCCUGUGACUGCGUACCUUUUGUAUAAUGGGUCAGCGACUUAUAUUCAGUGGCAAGGUUAACCAUCUAGGGGAGCCGUAGGGAAACCGAGUCUUAACUGGGCGUUCAGUCUCUGGAUAUAGACCCGAAACCAGGUGAUCUAGCCAUGGGCAGGUUGAAGGUUGAGUAACAUCAACUGGAGGACCGAACCGACUAAUGUUGAAAAAUUAGCGGAUGACUUGUGGCUAGGGGUGAAAGGCCAAUCAAACCUGGAGAUAGCUGGUUCUCCCCGAAAGCUAUUUAGGUAGCGCCUCGGACGAAUACUACUGGGGGUAGAGCACUGUUAAGGCUAGGGGGUCAUCCCGACUUACCAACCCUUUGCAAACUCCGAAUACCAGUAAGUACUAUCCGGGAGACACACGGCGGGUGCUAACG
rnacentral:rRNA from 1 species